UCACGCCUUCGCCAGGCAUCGGAGCUUGG
rnacentral:sRNA from 1 species